AUUUUAGAUAUACAAGGAAUUCAGCAACUAGAAUAUCAGUGGAACCCUCGCUUCCUUUAGUUUGCCAUUCGAGUACUUCCUGAUGCAUAGGUCGGAGUUAAACAUUGUUAGUCACUUGAAACACUGAUUUUUUUUUUCCCCCCCUGCUCAGAGGAGUUUAACUUUGAGAAGUCUCGUGUGUAGUAUGUCGAGUCUCACAGCUCCUGUGAUUCCAGUCUGCUCUGCCUUCUGCUGCUUGCUUUCAUUAUAUAAAUAAUAUUUUGCCAUGAGUCCUUUUGUUGUCCACUCAUUACAUUGCAGGCCAUCUCACAAGUGACCUUUGUACUGCAACAAACCUCAUAAUAAUUCUAGAUCAGUGUAACUCUUUUAAGUGCCAGUGCACAAACUUGCUGCUUGGCUCGCAGACAAGCGUGUGCAUGUAUAGAAGGGAAAGACCCUGCUGCUCUGUGUGUGGGAGGAUGCAUGCACUUGGCGUGCACGUGACUGAGUUCAGAGCCACUUAAGAAAGUGUAAUAAGAGUUUAAAUCUAGAGAUACUUUGUAAACAAAUAAGAGGUAAAUUGUAUACCUGUAUGUAUGUAUAAACACAAACACAUUUAUGCACAUUUUUAAUAAUCGAAUAGACAAGGCAGUGUACAGUUUUAUGUCUGAUAGAGGAGGUAGCCAACAAACAAUUCCUAGUUAUACAAGUACAUGGACCACACUUGAGGAACACAGCAAGGGAUGGUAAGUGGAGUUCUGGUAUACCUCAUCUUCACUCAACAUGGCUAUUUUGUUAGAUAAACAAGACACUACAAAGGUGGGGCUUUUUUAUUUUCUACAUGUAUUUAAAGGUAUUUUAUAUGUCCUACAUAGAUCUGGAUGCUAAAACCAACAAGAUGUUUUCUAAAAACCUUAAGAAUUUUUACUAUACCCUAAUGUCUGUGUCUGUAUGAAGCAAUGUAUCACCCUGUUUUCAUUUGUAUGGUUGUAAGGUAAGGAAUCCUAGCUGUCGAGAUGCUGUGGAAAACAGUCUCAGGCACAAUCAAAUACGGUCUCGGUGUCCAUGUCUACCACUACCAUGUUCUUAGGCUGCACAGUCCAUCGCUACAGCCCUGUUACUUGUCUUUAAAAUGUACAUGUAUACAUGUACCUGUGAAGUGCUGUGUGAUUUUUUUUUUUAAAGCAAUGUAUGCCUGUAGAAUGCUUCUACAAAUUCAAUAAAGUUGUUAAAUUUG
rnacentral:lncRNA from 1 species